rnacentral:tRNA from 1 species
GUUAUGGUGGCAGAGCCCGGUAAUGCAAAAGCCCUAAGACCUUUAUACGGAGGUUCAAAUCCUCCCCCUAACU